rnacentral:rRNA from 1 species
UACGGAGGGAGCUAGCGUUGUUCGGAAUUACUGGGCGUAAAGGGCUCGUAGGCGGCCAACUAAGUCAGACGUGAAAUCCCUCGGCUUAACCGGGGAACUGCGUCUGAUACUGGAUGGCUUGAGGUUGGAGAGGGAUGCGGAAUUCCAGGUGUAGCGGUGAAAUGCGCAGAUAUCAGGAAGAACACCCGUGGCGAAGGCGGCUCUCUGGGACGGUACUGACGCUGAGACGCGAAAGCGUGGGGAGCGAACAGG